UACGUAGGGUGCGAGCGUUGUCCGGAAUUAUUGGGCGUAAAGGGCUCGUAGGCGGUUUGUCGCGUCGGGAGUGAAAACUCAGGGCUUAACCCUGAGCCUGCUUCCGAUACGGGCAGACUAGAGGUAUGCAGGGGAGAACGGAAUUCCUGGUGUAGCGGUGAAAUGCGCAGAUAUCAGGAGGAACACCGGUGGCGAAGGCGGGUCUCUGGGCCGAUACUGACGCUGAGGAGCGAAAGCGGUGGGGAGCGAACAGG
rnacentral:rRNA from 1 species